AUGUCUUGGGCGAUAAUCCCUUUGUCAAAGGUUCCGCAACCAAUUAGCCUAAAUUAUAUUGCGGGGCCGAUCAAAACCAUAGUGGUGAUAGUGAUGGAGAACCGCUCCUUCGACCACGUCCUCGGCUGGCUCAAAUCCUCCCGGCCCGACAUCGACGGUCUCACCGGCAGCGAAUCCAACCCUCUCUCCGUCUCCUCCCCCUCCUCCGCCACAAUCCCCUUCACUGACGACACCCUCUUCAUCGACGCCGACCCCGGCCACUCCUUCUAGGUCAUUCGCGAACAAAUCUUCGGUUCCAACGACACCUCUGCAGUCCCUCCCCCAAUGAACGGCUUCGCCCAGCAAGCCGAGUCAAUCCUCCUGGGCAUGUCCAAAACCGUCAUGAGCGGUUUCAAACCCCACACCCUCCCCGUCUACACUGCUCUUGCAAACCAAUUCGGUUUAUUUGACAAAUGGUUCGCCUCCGUUCCUGCUUCCACCCAGCCCAACCGGUUCUACAUCCACUCCGCCACCUCUCACGGCGCCAUGAGCAACGUCCGCAAGGACCUCAUCCACGACUUUCCCCAGAAAACCAUCUUCGACUCCCUCAACGAGAACGGUCUCUCCUUCGGCGUCUACUACCAGAACAUCCCCGCCACGCUCUUCUUCAAGAGCCUGCGCAAGCUCAAGAAUGCGGUAAAGUUCCACGACUACGCCUUGAAGUUCAAGAAGCACGCCGAGAAGGGGAAGCUUCCGAACUACGUGGUGGUGGAGCAGAGGUACUUCGAUGUGGAGGUUUUUCCGGCGAACGAUGACCACCCCUCGCAUGACGUGGCGGCCGGGCAGAUGUUCGUGAAGGAGGUGUACGAGGUUUUGAGGAAGAGUCCGCAGUGGGAGGAGAUGGCGGUGCUGAUUACUUACGAUGAGCAUGGUGGGUUUUAUGAUCAUGUGGCGACGCCGGUGGAAGGGGUGCCUAACCCCGAUGGGAUCGUUGGGCCCCACCCUUAUUACUUUCGGUUUGAUAGGUUGGGGGUGAGGGUGCCCACGUUUAUUAUCUCGCCUUGGAUCGACAAGGGUACUGGUAUGUGCUCUAAAGUUUUCAGCUUUUUCAGGUUGUGUUGGUUAACUGAGAUUCGAGAUGAUUUGGGUUUUGUUUGGUUUGUUUUGUUUCUUUGAAAAUUUAGAAGAUUAUUUCUAACACAAGUGUUUUAAAAACCAAAAAACCGAAGCAGGUGGGAGAUGGUUUUUCAUCCUCUUCU